rnacentral:rRNA from 1 species
GUAGGUGGCAAGCGUUGUCCGGAAUUAUCGGGCGUAAAGCGCGCGCAGGCGGUUCUUUAAGUCUGAUGUGAAAGCCCACGGCUCAACCGUGGAGGGUCAUUGGAAACUGGAGAACUUGAGUACAGAAGAGGAAAGCGGAAUUCCACGUGUAGCGGUGAAAUGCGUAGAGAUGUGGAGGAACACCAGUGGCGAAGGCGGCUUUUCUGGUCUGUAACUGACGCUGAGGCGCGAAAGCGUGGGGAGCAAACAGGGAUUAGAUACCCUGGUAGUCCACGCCGUAAACGAUGAGUGCUAAGUGUUAGGGGGGUUUCCGCCCCCCUUAGUGCUGCAGCUAACGCAUUAAGCACUCCGCCUGGGGAUACGGCCGCAAGGCUG